GUUCAGCUGACGAGUCCUAAAUAGGACGAAACGUGUCCUGGAU
rfam:Schistosoma mansoni, Puerto Rico, WGS project CABG01000000 data, contig: 0195